rnacentral:tRNA from 1 species
GGAGGGGUCGCAUAGCCAGGUCUAGUGCGGCCGCCUGCUAAGCGGCUCUAGGGGGUUAUUCCUCUAGCGCGGGUUCAAAUCCCGCCCCCUCCGCCU